GGUGGACUUUGCAAAGCAUCCAAAGCAUGAGAGGCUAGAAGCAAAACCCCAAAAUAUAUGGGCAGCCUUACUGGGUUUAACCAUACCUAGAUGGAAUACCUGUACUUGGAAAUUUCCACAUUAGGCCCCAGAAUAUACCACAAAAAUAAAACCAUAAACAUUUUUCAAAAAUCAUCUAUAGUAUAAAAAGACAUAAGGAAACAGUAUGCAAGUCACAUGAGGUGUAAAACUAGUUAUGUAUAAAUUUGCAAUCAACUGCAAUUACCAGGUAAAGUGCAGUAUUACACAAUAUCCACUUGGGCUAGGUGUGAAGCCUAUUAUAGAAAUGACUUUCAUCUUUUGAGUUCCACUUUUGCUUAUUUGAGUAUCAGAUAUCCUGCUAGCAACUGAUGACUUUAUUUUAAUUUUGAGAUUCUGUCCUUGAAGGAAAAUUGAUUUCCUCAUAUUUUACUACUGUGACCCCCCCCCCACUCAAAAAAAAAAAAAAGAUCCCUGGCCUCUUGCACUUUGAGGGUAUAUGGAAACGCCCUUUCCAAUGUUUAAAAUGGCUACAAAGAUUUAAAGUGAGUGAAAUGUGUUAAAUGGUGUGUCUGGUCCUUGCCUCUCAUCAGCCUGUUCUCCCUGUAGACUAUUUAGCCCUAAAAGCAUUUUCUUCCUUCUCUCAAUCACGUACAGUGAAGUUGAUAAACUUGUUGAAAUACGAUAUACUAAUUGCCUAUUUGAAAAGACAGACAGUUUUCCCCCUCAUGUCUCUGUAUCUGGGUCCUACCACAAUACUCUUGGAGUCUACUGGCUCACAAAUAUCUGUUGUUUAAUCAUUGGGGGAGGACAGGGAUUGGUUCUUAAUUUGUUCUCCUAAGAUUAUGUGGAAUAGAGUGGGAAAGUUGGCUGUUUUUUUAACUUCACAAUCUUAAUAGUUGGUUUAUAUCUUCCAUGUUUUAUGCAAAAAUUAAUUCAAUAAAUAUUUGUGCCCUAGGUUGAAGGUUACAUGUUUAGGAAAGCAACAAAAUGGUUGGAAUUUUUUCUACAUUUUUUGGGAAGACUCUUUUGGAAAGGAAGGGUACAUAUUUUUGUUGUGUAAUAUUUUCUAUUUUUGAAUGCAUUUUCUUGGUACAAGACUGUUUUGUGGAUUUUUUUGGUGAAAACAUUAUUUAAAAAAAGAAAAGAAAGAAAAAAUAAUUGAAAAGUUUGCCCUUAAGGAUAUGCUGCAGUCUUGAGUUUUUUUAAAAAAUGAUGUGUUAAAGUUGGGGGAUUGUAUUGUUGUUUUAUUUUGUACUUGUUACAAGAAGUUUGUAUCCACUGCUGUUUAUUUUGUUUCAGAUGAGUAAGUAAAGGGAUUGUUCUUGUUUUA